rnacentral:rRNA from 1 species
ACUAACUAGGAUUCCCCUAGUAGCGGCGAGCGAACAGGGAAGAGCCCAGCACCGAAUCCCGCGCCUUCGGCGCCGGGAAAUGUGGUGUUUGGGAGGGUCCGACUAUCCCGUCGUCUUGCGCGCCGUCCAAGUCCUUCUUGAACGGGGCCAUUCACCCAUAGAGGGUGCCAGGCCCGUAGGACGGUCGCAGACGGCGGGUGGAUUCCUCCUCAGAGUCGGGUUGCUUGAAAAUGCAGCCCUAAGUGGGUGGUAAACUCCAUCUAAGGCUAAAUAUAACCACGAGACCGAUAGCGAACAAGUACCGUGAGGGAAAGUUGAAAAGAACUUUGAAGAGAGAGUUCAAUAGUACGUGAAACCGUUCAGGGGUAAACCUGAGAAACCCGAAAGGUCGACGGGGGAGAUUCAAAUGCGUCUCGAAAGUCGGAGCGCGGUCGGCGCGCGACGUUACCGGACUUGUCCGGUGCGCGCCGCCGGCCCGUAUGCUGACGUCGAACGCGUGCACUUCUCCCUCGGUAGGACGUCGCGACCCGUUGGAGGCCGGCCUACGGUCCGCGGUGGAGCCCCGGCGGUCUUGUGCCGCCGGGACCCGCGGCACCCGGCCGGCCCUUCGACGGUACGAUUAAGGCGCGGGGCCGCGACAAGUUCGCGCCCGGCCCGUCGCAAGCGCGGCCGGUAAGACUGGGAGUCGGACCUAGUGCCGACCCCGGACCCCGGCGGCUGUUAGCGGCGGUGUCCUCGGGCAGACCCCGUUAGCCGGUCGGCGGCGCUAUAGCUUUGGGUACUUUCAGGACCCGUCUUGAAACACGGACCAAGGAGUCUAGCAUGUGCGCAAGUCAUUGGGAGUUAACUAAACCUAAAGGCACAAUGAAAGUGAAGGCGCGCCUAGCGCGCGCCGAGGGCGGAUGGGCGGCGGCACGCCGUCGCCCCGCACGCCCGGGGCGUCCCGACCUCAUUGCGAGACGGGGCGCACCAGGAGCGUAAAUGCUACGACCCGAAAGAUGGUGAACUAUGCCUGGUCAGGACGAAGUCAGGGGAAACCCUGAUGGAGGUCCGUAGCGAUUCUGACGUGCAAAUCGAUCGUCGGAACUGGGUAUAGGGGCGAAAGACCAAUCGAACCUUCUAGUAGCUGGUUCCCUCCGAAGUUUCCCUCAGGAUAGCUGGCGCUCGCUUUAUGCGAGUCUCAUCCGGUAAAGCGAAUGAUUAGAGGCAUUGGGGUCGAAACGGCCUCAACCUAUUCUCAAACUUUAAAUGGGUGAGAUCUCCGGCUUGCUUGAACUAUGAAGCCGCGAGACCUCGGAUCAGAG